rnacentral:rRNA from 1 species
AGUGAACGCUGGCGGUAGGCCUAACACAUGCAAGUCGAACGGCAGCACAGUAAGAGCUUGCUCUUACGGGUGGCGAGUGGCGGGCGGGUGAGGAAUACAUCGGAAUCUACUUUUUCGGGGGGGAUAACGUGGGGAAACUUACGCUAAUACCGCAUACGACCUACGGGUGAAAGCAGGGGAUCUUCGGACCUUGCGCGAUUGAAUGAGCCGAUGUCGGAUUAGCUAGUUGGCGGGGUAAAGGCACACCAAGGCGACGAUCCGUAGCCGGUCUGAGAGGAUGAUCAGCCACACUGGAACUGAGACACGGUCCAGACUCCUACGGGAGGCAGCAGUGGGGAAUAUUGGACAAUGGGCGCAAGCCUGAUCCAGCCAUACCGCGUGGGUGAAGAAGGCCUUCGGGUUGUAAAGCCCUUUUGUUGGGAAAGAACAGCAGCAGGUUAAUCCCCCGCUGUUCUGACGGUACCCAAAGAAUAAGCACCGGCUAACUUCGUG